rnacentral:rRNA from 1 species
UGCGUAGGUGGUUGUUUAAGUCUGCUGUGAAAGCCCUGGGCUCAACCUGGGAAUUGCAGUGGAUACUGGGCGACUAGAGUGUGGUAGAGGAUAGUGGAAUUUCCGGUGUAGCAGUGAAAUGCGUAGAGAUCGGAAGGAACAUCUGUGGCGAAGGCGACUAUCUGGGCCAACACUGACACUGAGGCACGAAAGCGUGGGGAGCAAACA